AGUGAACGCUGGCGGUAGGCCUAACACAUGCAAGUCGAACGGCAGCACAGUAAGAGCUUGCUCUUACGGGUGGCGAGUGGCGGACGGGUGAGGAAUACAUCGGAAUCUACUUUUUCGUGGGGGAUAACGUAGGGAAACUUACGCUAAUACCACAUACGACCUACGGGUGAAAGCAGGGGAUCUUCGGACCUUGCGCGAUUGAAUGAGCCGAUGUCGGAUUAGCUAGUUGGCGGGGUAAAGGCCCACCAAGGCGACGAUCCGUAGCUGGUCUGAGAGGAUGAUCAGCCACACUGGAACUGAGACACGGUCCAGACUCCUACGGGAGGCAGCAGUGGGGAAUAUUGGACAAUGGGCGCAAGCCUGAUCCAGCCAUACCGCGUGGGUGAAGAAGGCCUUCGGGUUGUAAAGCCCUUUUGUUGGGAAAGAAAAGCAGCAAGUUAAUACCCCGCUGUUCUGACGGUACCCAAAGAAUAAGCACCGGCUAACUUCGUG
rnacentral:rRNA from 1 species